UGGGCAACCUGCCCCAGACUCAGGGAUAACCCCGGGGAAACCGGGGCUAAUACCCGAUACUCCGAUCGAACCACAUGGCUUGAUCGGGAAAGCUCCGACGGUCUGGGAUGGGCCCGCGGCCUAUCAGCUUGUUGGUGGGUAACGGCCUACCAAGGCGACGACGGGUAGCUGGUCUGAGAGGACGACCAGCCACACUGGAACUGAGAUACGGUCCAGACUCCGUACGGGAG
rnacentral:rRNA from 1 species